CUUCAGGUGCCAACAGCAUUUCUCAGAAGGCAGGUGUUGCUGCUCUGGGGCUUGGAUAUGCUGGUGGAGAAGCUGUUGCAACAAUGGUAAAAGCAUUCCAAGAGAGGCGUGAUUUUCUAGUCAAAAGCUUUGGGGAAAUGGAAGGACUCAAAUUUUCAGAACCUCAGUAAAAUUCAGGUUUAGGCCCCAUAUUCUUAUUGAUGUGAGCAUUGACAUGAGCACCAGAGUGCUGGAAAUAAUAAGUAAACUAGACUUUGUUGGAGGAGAAGAAGAUGGAGAAGAACAAGGAUGGUGCUCAAGAAAAGUUGGAGGUUUACUGGGAUGAUGGAUAUGGGACUCAAACUGUGAAGGAUUAUCUUGAAUUAGCCAAA